rnacentral:rRNA from 1 species
GUCUUUUUGAAUUAAUAAUUUAAAGUCUAAUCUGCCCACUGAUUAUUAAUUAAAGGGCUGCAGUAUUUUGACUGUACAAAGGUAGCAUAAUCAUUAGUCUCUUAAUUGGUGACUUGUAUGAAAGAUUUGAUGAAAUAUAAACUGUCUCUUUAUAAUUUUUAGAAUUUAAUUUUUUAGUUAAAAAGCUAAAAUAUAUUUAAAAGACGAGAAGACCCUAUAGAGUUUAAUAUUUAAUUUAUAUUAAAAAUUUUUUAUAAAAUUUAUGAUUUUGAUAUAUUUAAAUAUUUUGUUGGGGUGACAAAAAAAUUAAAAUAACUUUUUUUAUAAUUUUACAUUUAUAAAUGAAUAAAUGAUCCGUAAUUUACGAUUAUAAGAAAAAAUUACCUUAGGGAUAACAGCGUAAUUUUUUUUUUUAGUUCAAAUAAGAAAAAAAGUUUGCGACCUCGAUGUUGGAUUAAGAUAAAAUUUAAAUGCAAAAGUUUAAAAUUUUUGAUCUGUUCGAUCAUUAAAAUCUUACA